rnacentral:lncRNA from 1 species
AGCUGUUAAAAAAAAUCACUACUUCGAUACAUAAAAGGAAACUUAGCUACUAGAUUAAUGAUAUAUACGACAUGCAACUGUGUUUAAUUGGUUUUGAACUUUAAACAUAGAGAUCAAAUUGAACACGCCAUAUUAUGCUGGACUUUGGCAUGAAAGUAUGCAUAUGCAUGAAAGAAUUCUAGUAAAAGGUCACUUUUCCUAAUCGCAUGUGAUGACCAUUAGAUGAGAGUAUAGGACAUACUGUUGGUUUUGUUUGUUGAAGUAGAAGGAUGCUAUAACAUUUGUUAAAGGACCGUACAUUAAUAGUAAAUCGCAAUCCAUUCCUUUUGACAAAACGAUAGGUUCCGGUGCUUACUUAUGAGAGGGAAUACACAGAAACUAAGAAAAUUUU